AGCUACUAAGAGCGAAUGGUGGAUGCCUUGACUGGUAAAGGCGAUGAAGGACGUACUAGACUGCGAUAAGCUACGGGGAGCUGUCAAGAAGCUUUGAUCCGUAGAUUUCCGAAUGGGGCAACCCAAUGUAUAGAGAUAUGCAUUACCUAUAUAGGAGCGAACGAGGGGAAUUGAAACAUCUUAGUACCCUCAGGAAAAGAAAUCAAUAGAGAUUGCGUCAGUAGCGGCGAGCGAAAGCGCAAGAGGGCAAACCCAGUGCUUGCACUGGGGGUUGUAGGACUGCAAUGUGCAAGAGGUAAGUUUAGCAGAACAUUCUGGAAAGUAUAACCAUAGAGGGUGAUAGUCCCGUAUGCGAAAAACAAACCUUAGCUAGCAGUAUCCUGAGUAGGGCGGGACACGAGGAAUCCUGUCUGAAUCCGGGUCGACCACGAUCCAACCCUAAAUACUAAUACCAGAUCGAUAGUGCACAAGUACCGUGAGGGAAAGGUGAAAAGAACUGAGGUGAUCAGAGUGAAAUAGAACCUGAAACCAUUUGCUUACAAUCAUUCAGAGCCCUAUGUAGCAAUACAGGGUGAUGGACUGCCUUUUGCAUAAUGAGCCUGCGAGUUGUGGUGUCUGGCAAGGUUAAGCAAACGCGAAGCCGUAGCGAAAGCGAGUCUGAAUAGGGCGCUUAGUCAGAUGCUGCAGACCCGAAACGAAGUGAUCUAUCCAUGAGCAAGUUGAAGCUAGUGUAAGAACUAGUGGAGGACUGAACCCAUAGGCGUUGAAAAGCCCCGGGAUGACUUGUGGAUAGGGGUGAAAGGCCAAUCAAACUUCGUGAUAGCUGGUUCUCUCCGAAAUAUAUUUAGGUAUAGCGUUGUGUCGUAAUAUAAGGGGGUAGAGCACUGAAUGGGCUAGGGCAUACACCAAUGUACCAAACCCUAUCAAACUCCGAAUACCUUAUAUGUAAUCACAGCAGUCAGGCGGCGAGUGAUAAAAUCCGUCGUCAAGAGGGAAACAACCCAGACUACCAGCUAAGGUCCCUAAAUCUUACUUAAGUGGAAAACGAUGUGAAGUUACUUAAACAACCAGGAGGUUGGCUUAGAAGCAGCCAUCCUUUAAAGAAAGCGUAAUAGCUCACUGGUCUAGUGAUUUUGCGCGGAAAAUAUAACGGGGCUAAAGUAAGUACCGAAGCUGUAGACUU
rnacentral:rRNA from 1 species